AUGAAGACAGCCUCGCCAAGAUUUUGCUCAAAAGUCCAAGGUUCAACCCCAAAUUCCUCUUUCAGCUUCUUUUUGUGCUCAACAGUCAAGUAGAAUGACUGGUCAUGAAUAGGAUGAGCCACCUGCUCCACCGGACAGCAAAAGAGAUGCCUAAACUCUCUACAAUGUUUAUUAAGGUAUUCCUGAAGCUUAGGGACAUCUUCCCUUCGAAAAAUAUCCCAUAGAGCGCCACCUUUUGGCCUUUCUUGGUCUAUUAUAUCAUCAGAUACAGAUAUUUCAGGACACAGAUUUUCUUUUAUAUCCUGAACUCUGUGCAACUUUUUCAGCUUUGUUACCGCAGAGAACUGAGCGGCAGAAAGGGUUACUUCUGUCGUGUGUGUCAAGAUAUUCACGGCAUCA
rnacentral:misc_RNA from 1 species